CUAGGGCCUGGCCUGCCUGGCUGCCUCCAUCACAGCCCUCCUGCCCCACCAGGGAGAAAGCCCAGGAGCUGUCGAACUGGAUCCACCAGCUGGAGUCUGAGAAGUUCGACCUGAUGGCGAAGCUGAAACAGCAGAAGUAUGAGAUCAACGUGCUGUACAACCGCAUCAGCCAUGCCCAGAAGUUCCGGAAGGGGGCAGGGAAGGGCCGCGUUGGAGGCCGCUGGAAGUGAGGACGCCGCCCCGGACAGUGGCCUGCUCUUACCCACCCGGGAAGCCUGGGAGUGUUAGUCCCUUCGGUAGCUUGAAAUAAACGCUUCCCUCAGAC
rnacentral:lncRNA from 1 species